UCUGCUUUGGAACAGAGAGGACCGGCGUGUCUCAGAAGGGGAACACCUCAGCUGGGGCCGGGACAUCAGAGUAUCAGGGAACACAAGUUUGAGCAAAUAGAAGAGUUAGGAAAUUUAAAGUUUCCCCUAAUAAGGUGUAAUUUGCCUGUGGUCUGACAAUGAUAAACUCGAGUUCAUUUGCAGCAUAAGCAGUUCCAACACAGCUGGUCCAUUUCAAAGCUGCAAGGAAUUCCUCAGAGUACCCUGUCAUUGCUGGCCUUGGGUUAGGGUAAGCUAACACCUUCCAGGGUCAUGCCUGGAGAAGGAAAGCAUGGCCAGUACUUCCCACUUGGCUCAUCAGGAAUUCGACCCCAAGAAAUGGCCCCUGUGAAUUCCUGAAGAAACCACAAGAAGAAAAAAACACUGUUAGAGCUAAAACCUAUUAGAGUUAAUAAGCAGGUUCAGCAAAAUUGCAGAACACAAGAUCAACAUAAAGAAAUCAGUUGUAUUUCUAUAAACCAGCCAUGAACAAUCCAAAAUUGAAAUUGGGAAAGCAAUCCCACUUACACUAUUAUCAAAAAUAGUGAAAUGUUUAUGAAUAAAUUGAAUCAAGGAGAUGUAAGACUUGUGCACUGAAAAAAAUAAAACAUUGUUGAAAGAAAAUUUAAAAGACCUA